AAGACCAUACUUUCAGGAGUCAUUUCUGUGUUCUAUUACUACAGCCAUUUCUCUGCACCUGCCGGAGGAGGAAAACAGAAGAGAAGGAAAACAGCGCUCUCAGCGUGAAGUCUGCGCUUGGUGCUGCUUCUCUAACUGCCUCUGCCAUGGAUAAUCAUUCUUCUCUCUCUUUGAGAGAGUUGGAGGAAAAUAGCACAGAGUGGUUUUGAG
rnacentral:snoRNA from 1 species